rnacentral:lncRNA from 1 species
CUACUGAGGAUUGAACUCAGGGUCUUCACACUGAGCUACAUACCUGAUCAUUCCCCAAUUGUUUAUUUUGUGACAGGACCUCUCUAAGAAGCUGAUUGCCGAGAUAGGACUCAAAUUUGUGAUCCUGUUGACUCAGCCUCCCAGAGUUCUAGGAUUAUAGCCAUGAACCACCAUGGCUGGCUUCUAGGGACAGACUAGAGAGACACCAAGAAAACAAAAUGAGCAGUCAUUAAUGGAACUGGUUGAUAGGCAUGAAAUUCACAUUCAAAAAUAUCAACUUGACAUGGACCAAAUGAGAAUCUACUCAGCUCUGGGAAGAGACAAUGCUUCAGAAGAACUGACCACAGAUACCUGCCCUGAGUGAGGAUGAUUGCACUUUGAUAUCUGAAAUCGUGUGCAAGUAAUUUUGAUAAGGUGAGGGUAAACUCAACCUGGAGGAAGGCAAAAGAAGAAAGUCAACAUAACAAAUACACUUGAAACAACAAGGCCCUGCACGUUGAAAAAAG